rnacentral:rRNA from 1 species
GACGAACGCUGGCGGCGUGCUUAACACAUGCAAGUCGAACGGAAAGGCCCUGCUUUUGUGGGGUGCUCGAGUGGCGAACGGGUGAGUAACACGUGAGUAACCUGCCCUUGACUUUGGGAUAACUUCAGGAAACUGGGGCUAAUACCGGAUAGGAGCUCCUGCUGCAUGGUGGGGGUUGGAAAGUUUCGGCGGUUGGGGAUGGACUCGCGGCUUAUCAGCUUGUUGGUGGGGUAGUGGCUUACCAAGGCUUUGACGGGUAGCCGGCCUGAGAGGGUGACCGGCCACAUUGGGACUGAGAUACGGCCCAGACUCCUACGGGAGGCAACAGUGGGGAAUAUUGCACAAUGGGCGGAAGCCUGAUGCAGCAACGCCGCGUGCGGGAUGACGGCCCUCGGGUUGUAAACCGCUUUCGCCUGUGACGAAGCGUGGGUGACGGUAAUGGGUAAAGAAGCACCGGCUAACUACGU